UUAACCUAUAGCAUAAAAUAAUGCCUUUCAUUUACAUUGAAAAAAUAUCAAAGAUUAGGUUAAA
rnacentral:tRNA from 1 species